GCUCAGAUUGAACGCUGGCGGCAGGCCUAACACAUGCAAGUCGAGCGGCAGCACGGGUACUUGUACCUGGUGGCGAGCGGCGGACGGGUGAGUAAUGCCUAGGAAUCUGCCUGGUAGUGGGGGAUAACGUCCGGAAACGGGCGCUAAUACCGCAUACGUCCUACGGGAGAAAGUGGGGGAUCUUCGGACCUCACGCUAUCAGAUGAGCCUAGGUCGGAUUAGCUAGUUGGUGAGGUAAUGGCUCACCAAGGCUACGAUCCGUAACUGGUCUGAGAGGAUGAUCAGUCACACUGGAACUGAGACACGGUCCAGACUCCUACGGGAGGCAGCAGUGGGGAAUAUUGGACAAUGGGCGAAAGCCUGAUCCAGCCAUGCCGCGUGUGUGAAGAAGGUCUUCGGAUUGUAAAGCACUUUAAGUUGGGAGGAAGGGUACUUACCUAAUACGUGAGUAUUUUGACGUUACCGACAGAAUAAGCACCGGCUAACUCUGUGCCAGCAGCCGCGGUAAUACAGAGGGUGCAAGCGUUAAUCGGAAUUACUGGGCGUAAAGCGCGCGUAGGUGGUUUGUUAAGUUGGAUGUGAAAGCCCCGGGCUCAACCUGGGAACUGCAUCCAAAACUGGCAAGCUAGAGUAUGGUAGAGGGUGGUGGAAUUUCCUGUGUAGCGGUGAAAUGCGUAGAUAUAGGAAGGAACACCAGUGGCGAAGGCGACCACCUGGACUGAUACUGACACUGAGGUGCGAAAGCGUGGGGAGCAAACAGGAUUAGAUACCCUGGUAGUCCACGCCGUAAACGAUGUCAACUAGCCGUUGGGAGCCUUGAGCUCUUAGUGGCGCAGCUAACGCAUUAA
rnacentral:rRNA from 1 species